AACGAACGCUGGCGGCAGGCUUAACACAUGCAAGUCGAGCGCCCCGCAAGGGGCGCGGCAGACGGGUGAGUAACGCGUGGGAAUCUACCCAUCUCUACGGAAUAACGCAUGGAAACGUGUGCUAAUACCGUAUACGACCUUCGGGAGAAAGAUUUAUCGGAGAUGGAUGAGCCCGCGGUGGAUUAGCUAGUUGGUGGGGUAAAGGCCUACCAAGGCGACGAUCCAUAGCUGGUCUGAGAGGAUGAUCAGCCACACUGGGGCUGAGACACGGCCCAGACAGCUACGGAAGGCAGCAGUUGGGAAUAUUGGACAAUGCGCGCAAGCCUGAUCCAGCCAAGCCGCGUGAGUGAUGAAGGCCCUAGGGUUGUAAAGCUCUUUCACCGGUGACGAUAAUGACGGUAACCGGAGAAGAAGCCCCGGCUAACUUCGUGCCAGCCGCCGCCGUAAGAC
rnacentral:rRNA from 1 species